UGAGCACUUGGACUAUAGCAAAGACCAUAGAAUGUGGAGAGCGGCAGUAUAAAGAUAAAGGACGUUGUUGCAACGACUGCCCCCCAGGAACCUAUUUGAAGGACUUUUGCUCUGAAACUCGUGAAACAGUUUGCCUUCCCUGUCCGGAUGGCUUUUAUGCAGAUAAACACCACAGCUUUGACCGCUGUGAGCGUUGCCGUUCAUGCCCCGCAGGGAAAACGGCAAUCUGCACCCCAACCUCAAAUGGAAACUGUUUUUGCCGACCUGGUUUCCUGUGCUCCGACCACGACUGCACGCGGUGCGAGGAGAACAAGUGCGCCGCAGGAGAGGAACU